UACGAAGGGGGCUAGCGUUGUUCGGAAUUACUGGGCGUAAAGCGCGCGUAGGCGGCUUUGUAAGUUAGAGGUGAAAGCCCGGGAGCUCAACUCCCGGAACUGCCUUUAAAACUGCAUCGCUUGAAUCCAGGAGAGGUGAGUGGAAUUCCGAGUGUAGAGGUGAAAUUCGUAGAUAUUCGGAAAGAACACCAGUGGCGAAGGCGGCUCACUGGACUGGUAUUGACGCUGAGGUGCGAAAGCGUGGGGAGCAAACAGG
rnacentral:rRNA from 1 species